AUAUGCAGGAGAUCUUAAAGAGAAACACAAAAGAAAACCUUGGAGAUUUAGGGUUUCAUAGAAAACCCUAGAGAACGAGAAAGCCUGGAACGGACUGCUUUUUAGUCGACAACGGACUCGCAACAUUAAGACUCGUCGGAGAGAGACCGGACAUGGCCGUAGAACUCAAGUCGGAGGACCUCUGAGUCGGGGGUCUUCAAGAUAGGAUUUCGUUCUUCGAACAAAGGGGUCAUAGAAGGGAGUGAGGGGUGAGUACAGGUAGCACGAAGCCCGGGAGGCCAUGGUCUCCGGUGAAACAAGGUCAGAAAGUGGUCAGAGAAGGGCUAAGGUAUCAGGGGAGUUGAGAGCAUUUUGGGAACGAGGGGGAUACAAG
rnacentral:lncRNA from 1 species